GUAACGAAUAUUCCGCAAUGCACGAAAGUGUGACGGAGCAAUGCCGCGUGCAGGAUGAAGCAACUUCGUUGUGUAAACUGCUGUCAGGAGCGAGAAACCAUGAUCAGCUCCAGAGGAAGGACCGGCUAAUCUCGUGCCAGCAGCCGCGGUAAUACGAGAGGUCCAAGCGUUAGUCGGAAUCACUGGGCUUAAAGGGUGCGUAGGCGGAUCCGUAAGUGUCUUGUGAAAUCCCCGGGCUCAACCCGGGAAUUGCAUGGCAUACUGCGGAUCUUGAGGAAUCUAGAGGCCGGCAGAACAAUAGGUGGAGCGGUGGAAUGCGUAGAUAUCUAUUGGAAUGCCAAAGGUGAAGACAGCCGGCUGGGGAUUUCCUGACGCUGAGGCACGAAAGCGUGGGGAUCAAACAGGAUUAGAUACCCUUGUAGUCC
rnacentral:rRNA from 1 species